rnacentral:rRNA from 1 species
GACGAACGCUGGCGGCGUGCCUAAUACAUGCAAGUAGAACGCUGAAGGAAGGAGCUUGCUCUUUCCGGAUGAGUUGCGAACGGGUGAGUAACGCGUAGGUAACCUGCCUGGUAGCGGGGGAUAACUAUUGGAAACGAUAGCUAAUACCGCAUAACAGUAGAUGUUGCAUGAUAUCUACUUAAAAGGUGCAAUUGCACCACUACCAGAUGGACCUGCGUUGUAUUAGCUAGUUGGUGAGGUAACGGCUCACCAAGGCGACGAUACAUAGCCGACCUGAGAGGGUGAUCGGCCACACUGGGACUGAGACACGGCCCAGACUCCUACGGGAGGCAGCAGUAGGGAAUCUUCGGCAAUAGACGGAAGUCUGACCGAGCAACGCCGCGUGAGUGAAGAAGGUUUUCGGAUCGUAAAGCUCUGUUGUAAGAGAAGAACGAGUGUGAGAGUGGAAAGUUCACACUGUGACGGUAUCUUACCAGAAAGGGACGGCUAACUACGUG